rnacentral:rRNA from 1 species
AUUGAACGCUGGCGGCAUGCUUUACACAUGCAAGUCGAACGGUAACAGGUUAAGCUGACGAGUGGCGAACGGGUGAGUAAUGCAUCGGAACGUGCCCGAUCGUGGGGGAUAACGCAGCGAAAGCUGCGCUAAUACCGCAUACGAUCUGAGGAUGAAAGCGGGGGAUCGUAAGGCCUCGCGCGAUCGGAGCGGCCGAUGUCAGAUUAGGUAGUUGGUGGGGUAAAGGCUCACCAAGCCAACGAUCUGUAGCUGGUCUGAGAGGACGACCAGCCACACUGGGACUGAGACACGGCCCAGACUCCUACGGGAGGCAGCAGUGGGGAAUUUUGGACAAUGGGCGAAAGCCUGAUCCAGUAAUGCCGCGUGCAGGAAGAAGGCCUUCGGGUUGUAAACUGCUUUUGUACGGAGCGAAAAGGCUCUCUCUAAUACAGGGGGCUCAUGACGGUACCGUAAGAAUAAGCACCGGCUAACUACGUGCCAGCAGCCGCCGUAA